rnacentral:lncRNA from 1 species
AUAGUCUCCAGACAGUGAUGGUUUGUGUAUAAAGGGGACUGGGGGAUGAGAUCCUGAGAGAGCCUAGAGCACUUGCCUCUUAUCAAGGCACUAGGCUCUACCCACUACCCCAACCGACCACAAGUAGUACAACAGAAGAAAAAAAAAAAAGAAAGCAUCUCGGUGCACGGCAGUGAAGGUGGGAACUGUGUCCGCGUCUGCGGGCUGUGAGUUCGAGACCACAAGCCUUCCGGGCUGGUGACCAGGCCUAGGCUGUCAGGCCGCCAUCCAUCCCGCGAGCUCGGACCCCGAGCCCGGCUCCCGCCCCGGCCCGCGCUCACCGCCAAUGAUGGUCCGGAUGAGGGAGGCGUGCCCGGGGCAGUCGACCAGUGUGACCUGCAGCAGCGUGUCGCUAGAACCGGGUUCUGCCCCCGGCAGCGGCACGACAAAACAGGAGAAGCCCAGGUCGAGCGUUAUGCCGCGCUCGCGGCUCUGCGGCUGCUUGUCGAAGGCAGCAGUGGAGGCCGUGGUGCUCAGCGCGCGCGCCAGCGCUGUUUUGCCGCUGUCGAUGUGACCCAGCACGCCCACAUUCACAUUUACCCGCCGGCCGGCCAUCCCGCCGCUGCCUCUCACGCCGUCGCCUGAGCGC